GGCGAUGUAGCUUAGUGGAGAGAUUGCUGGCCUAGCACACCAGAAGCCCUAGGUUUGAGCCCUUGCACCAUCU
rnacentral:tRNA from 1 species